ensembl:snoRNA SNORD14 Small nucleolar RNA SNORD14
UCGCUGUGAUGAUGGAUUCCAUAACCAUUCGUAGUUUCCACCAGAAUUUCUGUGUUGGCCACUUCCUUCCUUGGAUGUCUGAGCGA